rnacentral:misc_RNA from 1 species
UGAAGUCGUAACAAGGUAGCCGUAUCGGAAGGUGCGGCUGGAUCACCUCCUUUCUAAGGAAUAUAAAAAAAGAUGUUGUUCUACUUUAUUCAGUUUUGAGGGGUCUAUAAAGACCAACAAGCAGUCUUUUGAUGCAAGAUAGAGAAGAUUGCGUUGAGAGAAGGGGCCUUAGCUCAGCUGGGAGAGCGCCUGCUUUGCACGCAGGAGGUCAGCGGUUCGAUCCCGCUAGGCUCCAUAAGAUACGGAAGUAUCUGGUCAACGAAGGCGUUAAAAUAGGAAUUGAUCAUUGAAAACUAAAUAACAAUAUCUUAUAACGAUAAAUAAACCGAGAAAUGUUUUAAACAUUUCUGUAAAGCUGCGAAUUCUUUUAAAGAGUUCGAAAAAACUUAUACUUGUUUUAAUGGCAAAGUUAAUAAGGGCGCACGGUGGGAUGCCUUGA